GUGAGGAAUAUUGGUCAAUGGGCGCGAGCCUGAACCAGCCAAGUAGCGUGAGGGAUGACUGCCCUAUGGGUUGUAAACCUCUUUUGCAGGGGGGUAAAGUGGUUCACGUGUGGACCAUUGCAAGUACCCUGCGAAUAAGGAUCGGCUAACUCCGUGCCAGCAGCCGCGGUAAUACGGAGGGUGCGAGCGUUGUCCGGAUUUAUUGGGUUUAAAGGGUGCGUAGGCUGGAAGGUCAGUCAGCGGUGAAAAGCUGUCGCUUAACGAUAGUCUUGCCGCAGAUACUUCCUUUCUUGGAUGAGGAGGAGGCCACUGGAACGGAUGGUGUAGCGGUGAAAUGCAUAGAUAUCAUCCAGAACACCGAUUGCGAAGGCAGGUGGCUGUACCUUAAUCGACGCUGAUGCACGAAAGCAUGGGGAGCAAACAGGAUUAGAUACCCCUGUAGUCC
rnacentral:rRNA from 1 species